rnacentral:lncRNA from 1 species
GAUUGCUCUCUUUUCUUGCGCCACUCUUUUCCUCUCUCCUGGCUUCGAUUCGUUGGAGUUCAAAAAAGAGGGAAAAUAACAACCUAACCAGCGAACUAAGGCCCCGAAUUUCGAUUCUUCGUCGCGAGUAAGAUCGAAUUUCAGUCUCCUUGGAUUCGAUUCUGGUAAGACCAAUCAAGAACGACGGACUAUCUGGUAUUAUAUUAUCAAAACUUUUUUGGUAAUUUAUUUUCCGCCUUACAUUUUCUUGUCAGACGAGGACGAAGAAAACGUUUGGUUUGGUUAAGGAUUUUUCAUGUACUGGUAAAGAAAGGUAUAUCAGGGACUCCGCCUCCUCUUCAGAUUUCGUUUUGCUU